rnacentral:rRNA from 1 species
UUAAGCGACUAAGCGUACACGGUGGAUGCCCUGGCAGUCAGAGGCGAUGAAGGACGUGCUAAUCUGCGAUAAGCGUCGGUAAGGUGAUAUGAACCGUUAUAACCGGCGAUUUCCGAAUGGGGAAACCCAGUGUGUUUCGACACACUAUCAUUAACUGAAUCCAUAGGUUAAUGAGGCGAACCGGGGGAACUGAAACAUCUAAGUACCCCGAGGAAAAGAAAUCAACCGAGAUUCCCCCAGUAGCGGCGAGCGAACGGGGAGCAGCCCAGAGCCUGAAUCAGUGUGUGUGUUAGUGGAAGCGUCUGGAAAGGCGCGCGAUACAGGGUGACAGCCCCGUACACAAAAAUGCACAUGCUGUGAGCUCGAUGAGUAGGGCGGGACACGUGGUAUCCUGUCUGAAUAUGGGGGGACCAUCCUCCAAGGCUAAAUACUCCUGACUGACCGAUAGUGAACCAGUACCGUGAGGGAAAGGCGAAAAGAACCCCGGCGAGGGGAGUGAAAAAGAACCUGAAACCGUGUACGUACAAGCAGUGGGAGCACAGAGCAAUCUGUGUGACUGCGUACCUUUUGUAUAAUGGGUCAGCGACUUAUAUUCUGUAGCAAGGUUAACCGAAUAGGGGAGCCGAAGGGAAACCGAGUCUUAACUGGGCGUUAAGUUGCAGGGUAUAGACCCGAAACCCGGUGAUCUAGCCAUGGGCAGGUUGAAGGUUGGGUAACACUAACUGGAGGACCGAACCGACUAAUGUUGAAAAAUUAGCGGAUGACUUGUGGCUGGGGGUGAAAGGCCAAUCAAACCGGGAGAUAGCUGGUUCUCCCCGAAAGCUAUUUAGGUAGCGCCUCGUGAAUUCAUCUCCGGGGGUAGAGCACUGUUUCGGCAAGGGGGUCAUCCCGACUUACCAACCCGAUGCAAACUGCGAAUACCGGAGAAUGUUAUCACGGGAGACACACGGCGGGUGCUAACGUCCGUCGUGAAGAGGGAAACAACCCAGACCGCCAGCUAAGGUCCCAAAGUCAUGGUUAAGUGGGAAACGAUGUGGGAAGGCCCAGACAGCCAGGAUGUUGGCUUAGAAGCAGCCAUCAUUUAAAGAAAGCGUAAUAGCUCACUGGUCGAGUCGGCCUGCGCGGAAGAUGUAACGGGGCUAAACCAUGCACCGAAGCUGCGGCAGCGACGCUUAUGCGUUGUUGGGUAGGGGAGCGUUCUGUAAGCCUGCGAAGGUGUGCUGUGAGGCAUGCUGGAGGUAUCAGAAGUGCGAAUGCUGACAUAAGUAACGAUAAAGCGGGUGAAAAGCCCGCUCGCCGGAAGACCAAGGGUUCCUGUCCAACGUUAAUCGGGGCAGGGUGAGUCGACCCCUAAGGCGAGGCCGAAAGGCGUAGUCGAUGGGAAACAGGUUAAUAUUCCUGUACUUGGUGUUACUGCGAAGGGGGGACGGAGAAGGCUAUGUUGGCCGGGCGACGGUUGUCCCGGUUUAAGCGUGUAGGCUGGUUUUCCAGGCAAAUCCGGAAAACUAAGGCUGAGGCGUGAUGACGAGGCACUACGGUGCUGAAGCAACAAAUGCCCUGCUUCCAGGAAAAGCCUCUAAGCAUCAGGUAACAUCAAAUCGUACCCCAAACCGACACAGGUGGUCAGGUAGAGAAUACCAAGGCGCUUGAGAGAACUCGGGUGAAGGAACUAGGCAAAAUGGUGCCGUAACUUCGGGAGAAGGCACGCUGAUAUGUAGGUGAAGUCCCUCGCGGAUGGAGCUGAAAUCAGUCGAAGAUACCAGCUGGCUGCAACUGUUUAUUAAAAACACAGCACUGUGCAAACACGAAAGUGGACGUAUACGGUGUGACGCCUGCCCGGUGCCGGAAGGUUAAUUGAUGGGGUUAGCGGUAACGCGAAGCUCUUGAUCGAAGCCCCGGUAAACGGCGGCCGUAACUAUAACGGUCCUAAGGUAGCGAAAUUCCUUGUCGGGUAAGUUCCGACCUGCACGAAUGGCGUAAUGAUGGCCAGGCUGUCUCCACCCGAGACUCAGUGAAAUUGAACUCGCUGUGAAGAUGCAGUGUACCCGCGGCAAGACGGAAAGACCCCGUGAACCUUUACUAUAGCUUGACACUGAACAUUGAGCCUUGAUGUGUAGGAUAGGUGGGAGGCUUAGAAGUGUGGACGCCAGUCUGCAUGGAGCCGACCUUGAAAUACCACCCUUUAAUGUUUGAUGUUCUAACGUGGACCCGUGAUCCGGGUUGCGGACAGUGUCUGGUGGGUAGUUUGACUGGGGCGGUCUCCUCCUAAAGAGUAACGGAGGAGCACGAAGGUUGGCUAAUCCUGGUCGGACAUCAGGAGGUUAGUGCAAUGGCAUAAGCCAGCUUGACUGCGAGCGUGACGGCGCGAGCAGGUGCGAAAGCAGGUCAUAGUGAUCCGGUGGUUCUGAAUGGAAGGGCCAUCGCUCAACGGAUAAAAGGUACUCCGGGGAUAACAGGCUGAUACCGCCCAAGAGUUCAUAUCGACGGCGGUGUUUGGCACCUCGAUGUCGGCUCAUCACAUCCUGGGGCUGAAGUAGGUCCCAAGGGUAUGGCUGUUCGCCAUUUAAAGUGGUACGCGAGCUGGGUUUAGAACGUCGUGAGACAGUUCGGUCCCUAUCUGCCGUGGGCGCUGGAGAACUGAGGGGGGCUGCUCCUAGUACGAGAGGACCGGAGUGGACGCAUCACUGGUGUUCGGGUUGUCAUGCCAAUGGCACUGCCCGGUAGCUAAAUGCGGAAGAGAUAAGUGCUGAAAGCAUCUAAGCACGAAACUUGCCCCGAGAUGAGUUCUCCCUGACUCCUUGAGAGUCCUGAAGGAACGUUGAAGACGACGACGUUGAUAGGCCGGGUGUGUAAGCGCAGCGAUGCGUUGAGCUAACCGGUACUAAUGAACCGUGAGGCUUAACCU